GUUAAUUUGAAAUCCCAGUAAAUCAUAUGAUUAUUCCAUUAAGUACCAAGUCACUCGCAAGCCAUUUAACUAUAGGAUUCAUUUGCUGACCUAAUCCCCUUGGUUCGUUGAGCACCAACAAGGAAAAAUGUUGAAACACACAAACUUGUGAAUCUAAGUAACGCAUGCAUAAAUAUGCACUUUAAUACCACAGCAAGAAAA
rnacentral:misc_RNA from 1 species